rnacentral:rRNA from 1 species
UACGAAGGGGGCUAGCGUUGUUCGGAAUUACUGGGCGUAAAGCGCGCGCAGGCGGCUAUCCAAGUCAGUGGUGAAAGCCCGGAGCUCAACUCCGGAACUGCCCAUUGAAACUGUUUAGCUUGAGGACGAGAGAGGUGAGUGGAAUUCCCAGUGUAGAGGUGAAAUUCGUAGAUAUUGGGAAGAACACCGGUGGCGAAGGCGGGCUCACUGGCUCGUUUCUGACGCUCAGGCGCGAUAGCGUGGGGAUCAAACAGG